rnacentral:misc_RNA from 1 species
GAUGAAGAACGCAGCGAAAUGCGAUAAGUAGUGUGAAUUGCAGAAUUCAGUGAAUCAUCGAAUCUUUGAACGCACAUUGCGCCCUUUGGUAUUCCAAAGGGCAUGCCUGUUCGAGCGUCAUUUGUACCCUCAAGCUUUGCUUGGUGUUGGGCGUCUUGUCUCUAGCUUUGCUGGAGACUCGCCUUAAAGUAAUUGGCAGCGGGCCUACUGGUUUCGGAGCGCAGCACAAGUCGCACUCUCUAUCAGCAAAGGUCUAGCAUCCAUUAAGCCUUUUUUUCAACUUUUGACCUCGGAUCAGGUAGGGAUACCCGCUGAACUUAAGCAUAUCAAUAAGCGGAGGA